rnacentral:rRNA from 1 species
AAAGAUUAAGCCAUGCAUGUCCAAGUAUGAACACGCUUUGUACGGUGAAACUGCGAAUGGCUCAUUAUAUCAGUGAUCAUUUAUUUGAUGAUGCCUUACUACGUGGAUAACCGUGGUAAUUCUAGAGCUAAUACAUGCACACGACUCCCGACUCGCGAGGGAAGGGAGGUAUUUAUUAGGUAAGAACCAGCCCUGGCAACAGGAGCUCUGGUGAUUCAUGAUAACUGCACGAAUCGCACGGCCUUGCGCUGGCGAUGGAUCAUUCAAAUUUCUGCCCUAUCAACUUUUGAUGGUAGGAUAGAGGCCUACCAUGGUCG